CAGAGGGUGCGAACGUUGCUCGGAAUUACUGGGCGUAAAGCGCGUGUAGGCGGAACGAUAAGUCGGAAGUGAAAUCCCCGGGCUCAACCCGGGAACUGCUUUCGAAACUGCCGUUCUCGAGUACCGGAGAGGGUGGCGGAAUUCCUGGUGUAGAGGUGAAAUUCGUAGAUAUCAGGAGGAACACCGGUGGCGAAGGCGGCCACCUGGACGGUCACUGACGCUGAGACGCGAAAGCGUGGGGAGCAAACAGGAUUAGAUACCCUGGUAGUCCACGCCGUAAACGAUGGGUGCUGGGUGUCGCGGGUAUUGACCCCCGCGGUGCCGUAGCCAACGCGUUAAGCACCCCGCCUGGGAAGUACGGCCGCAAGGCUA
rnacentral:rRNA from 1 species